UGGGUAUGAUGCCCAAUUAGUCAUCUCUGGAAACAAACUGAGUUUAUACCAUAAUGGUAUUAGUUUCUGCUAUGUACUUUUAUAAACAGCCAACUAAUAUGUCAGCUACUCGCCAAUCUUUCUAGCUUCUCCUUGGUUAUAUUUUGUAACCAUACUACCACAGCAGAUAGCAGGCAUAGUGAGAAACUUGGUUUGCAUUAUAAUAUGACGAGUACAGCAGUAGUUAUGGAUGCUAGGAUAGGAAUGUCUUGUGAAAACAGAAGAACAAAUGGGAUAUAAGUAUGGCGAGGCUUGCUUUCGUUUAUGUUUCUAGUAUCAUGUACCAUUUAGACUUAAAUUUUUGUUUUAUUUCGACAUGUUAUGCAUAGAAAUACUUGAGAUGUUGUUAUGUACUUUGAGCAUCAAUAUUAAUCAAAAUUUAUUUACUUA